AUAACAAAAUAUUCAGUGUAAUCAUAAUAAUUUUUUUUGAAAGGAUAGGAUACACACACCUUUACACUUCCUUUGUGGGGGUAUCAUUGUUAGGUAGUGGAGCCUGAUUAAUUUUAGGUUUUCCUAUUUAUUCUCUAUUUUAGGUUUUCCUAUUUAUUCUCUAUUUUAGGUUUUCCUAUUUUAACCAAAAAUACUCUGAUUUAUUAAUAUAAAUAUACCUCACCGCCGUGGAAGUUUACUCACAUGGUUUUACCACGAAAUAUUGAGUUUUUCUCUCUCUCUCUCUAGAUUUCCCAUCUCUCUCUCUAGAAAGUUCUUGUGUUCUUCAUUCAUCUAGUGUGUGUGCGUGAAUUCGAUCCUAACAAUCAUAUUAAAAGAAGAGUUCUCCAAGAAGAGUUGCAAGAAAUUUUUUUAAAUAACAACUCAUACAAACAAACAAAUCACAAUUAUAGCUCAAUUCAAAAUAAGUUAGGAUUGACGAUGUGAAUUUACACUAUAGCAUUUAAUCUCAUCUCAUGUCAUGACAUGGAAAAUCAAAAAACACUUCCAAAAAUUAGCAAGGCUGAAAACAAGAGUAUAAAACAAAACUAAAUUGUAACCAUUCAUAAAUAGUUUAGGAUCUCUUUGAAAAGCUACAUGUUAAUUACAAUUAAUGUAAUUACCACCCUUGUAAUUAUAUAAUUACACAACAUAAUAAUUACUCAAUAUAAUAACUAUAAUGACUUGCACAAGUACAAUUACAGUUAAAUUAAUUUUGAAU
rnacentral:lncRNA from 1 species